ensembl:lncRNA
AUAAUUAUUAUCCAUGGAACGUGUGUCCCACAACAACCCUGUUAGCAUAACCUUUUUAUCUGGUAGAAGAAGAAAAAAAACAGUGAAUCACAUGAAACGCUGGAAUCAAACAGUUUUCCUUGAAGAAAGCUAUGCCCUCUCUUCUAUUUUUCAUAUUUUCAUAACAUUGUCUCACUCUACCUCAUAUUAUCAGGAUCAGACUAAUUCUUUUGACUGUUUUCCAUCAGUCAGUUUGUCCUCUAGGUCAGCAGUAACAGCUAGCUAAAUAUCUAGCUUCUACUGCUGAGGAAAAGCUAACAUUAGCAUGGAUUAGCAGCCCUGUUACUGUGAUUAGAGUAGGGUUAGCAAACAACAAAUAAAACAUGGAAUAAAAUGCUACCAUUGAUGUGUAAACUGAGCUAGUGAAGCCUUUGGAGGUUUAUGACCUAUUAUUGAUGAAUAUGGAGCAGAAAUUUGUAAAAGAGAAGGUUUACUUUUUCAUAAAUUUGAAAUCCAAAUGUCCUGCAGUUCUGGAAUGACUCAACAGCAUGGACCUGCAACCAAAAAUUCUUUUCAUUAUCAAUUAAUCUGUAAACUAUUUUCUCAAUUAAUUGAUUAGUCUUCUGGUCUAAAAACACCAGAAAAUUCAAAGCUGGCAUCUUGGGAUGUGUGUUUCUGUCUAAGAAAUCAAAAAUAAUAGAUUAAUUAAAAGUCUUCAAAAAAAACCCCAUUCAUUUAGAAAAAAAGCAAUAAACAAAAAACAACGGAACCACUAAAAAGAGGUUUUUUAGACACAGAAUUAUCUUGAAUACAGUGUCUUUAAAGUGCCUAAAAGUGUCUCGUAAAGUGUUUAAAGGAACAUUUUUUUUAUGGUGAGGCACCUUUGGUGGUUCUUUAAUGAACUGACUGCAGAAAAGCCUCUCUAAUCAUUGUCUUGCUAAAAGGUUCAUUGUAGAGCUAAAAAUGGUUCUUUUAUGGCCCCACUGUGGAAGAAACAUUUUUUGAUCCAGUUAGCGCCUUCAUUAAAUUAUUUUUUCAGUGUAGAGUUUGCAUUUUACAGCAGGGACUUUCACAAAGUUUCUUGAUUUUUUUAUUUUUCUGAAAUUUUCUAUGAUUUAAUUCCUGCCUUAAUUAAAACUGGACCAAGAGAAGAAUAAAAACCUCUAACUCUUUCCUGCCUGUGUUUCAGUCCUUUCGCUCGGGACAGACUGGCUGCUGUUUCAGGAUCAACAUGAAGACGAUGGUCUGAUGGAGUCCUCCAAGAAUGCAGUUUGUUUUUAAUGGCAUAUUCUGUUCCUGAUGCUGAGGAAGACUUCUUUUGUGUUUACAAUUUGUACCUCAGAAGAUAUUCAACAAUGUAAAGUGUUGGUAAGAACAUGGUGAAAUAAAAUAACUUUCAAUUGCAAACU